rnacentral:rRNA from 1 species
UACGUAGGGGGCUAGCGUUGUCCGGAUUUAUUGGGCGUAAAGAGCGUGUAGGCGGCCAUGUAGGUCCGGUGUGAAAACUCGAGGCUUAACCUCGAGCUGUCGGCGGAAACUAUUUGGCUAGAGUCCGGAAGAGGAGAAUGGAAUUCCCGGUGUAGCGGUGAAAUGCGCAGAUAUCGGGAAGAACACCCGUGGCGAAGGCGGUUCUCUGGGACGGUACUGACGCUGAGACGCGAAAGCGUGGGGAGCGAACAGG